GGCUCAAUGGUCUAGUGGUAUGAUUCCUGCUUUGGGUGGUUCUGAACCCCUUCUAUACUCAUGUAGAAUGCAGGAGGCCCCGGGUUCAAAUCCCGGUUGAGCCC